AUUUCAAUUCCUCAUAGGUAGGCUAUAAAC
rfam:Sulfobacillus acidophilus TPY, complete genome.